rnacentral:rRNA from 1 species
UGAAGUUGACCGCCUGGGGAGUACGGUCGCAAGAUUAAAACUCAAAGGAAUUGACGGGGACCCGCACAAGCGGUGGAUGAUGUGGAUUAAUUCGAUGCAACGCGAACAACCUUACCUACCCUUGACAUGUCCGGAAGCCUGUAGAGAUACGGGGGUGCCCGAAAGGGAGCCGGAACACAGGUGCUGCAUGGCUGUCGUCAGCUCGUGUCGUGAGAUGUUGGGUUAAGUCCCGCAACGAGCGCAACCCUUGUCCUUAGUUGCUACGCAAGGGCACUCUAAGGAGACUGCCGGUGACAAACCGGAGGAAGGUGGGGACGACGUCAAGUCCUCAUGGCCCUUAUGGGUAGGGCUUCACACGUCAUACAAUGGCCGGUACAGAGGGUUGCCAACCCGCGAGGGGGAGCCAAUCCCAGAAAGCCGGUCGUAGUCCGGAUUGCAGUCUGCAACUCGACUGCAUGAAGUCGGAAUCGCUAGUAAUCGCGGAUCAGCAUGUCGCGGUGAAUACGUUCCCGGGUCUUGUACACACCGCCCGUCACACCAUGGGAGUGGGUUUUACCAGAAGCAGGUAGCCUAACCGUAAGGAGGGCGCCUACCACGGUAGGAUUCAUGACUGGGGUGAA